UACGUAGGGUGCGAGCGUUGUCCGGAAUUAUUGGGCGUAAAGAGCUCGUAGGCGGUCUGUCGCGUCGGUCGUGAAAACUUGGGGCUUAACCCUGAGCUUGCGGUCGAUACGGGCAUGACUGGAGUUCGGUAGGGGAGACUGGAAUUCCUGGUGUAGCGGUGAAAUGCGUAGAUAUCGAGAGGAACACCAGUGGCGAAGGCGAGUCUCUGGACGACUCCUGACACUGAGGCACGAAAGCUGGGGGAGCAAACAGG
rnacentral:rRNA from 1 species